UGCGCACACAAACCGGAGACAUUUUCUCGGC
rnacentral:piRNA from 1 species